AUUGCCGUAGUAGCGGCGAGCGAAAUGGGAGCACCCUAAACCGUGAAAACGGGGUUGUGGGAGAGCAAUUCAAGCGUCGUGCUACUAGGUGAACCAGCCUGAAUGCUGCACCCUAGAUGGUGAAAGUCCAGUAACCGAAAGCAUCACUAGCUUACGCUCUGGCCCGAGUAGCAUGGGGCACGUGGAAUCCCGUGUGAAUCAGCAAGGACCACCUUGUAAAUA
rnacentral:ncRNA from 1 species